rnacentral:tRNA from 1 species
GGGGCGGUAGCUCAAUUGGGAGAGCACCAGCUUUGCAAGCUGGGGGUUGCCGGUUCGAUCCCGGUCCGCUCCA